rnacentral:tRNA from 1 species
UCCCUGGUGGUCUAGGGGUUAGGACUCACCACUUUCACCACUGUGGCCCAGGUUUGAUCCCUGGUCUGGGAA